GACGAACGCUGGCGGCGUGCUUAACACAUGCAAGUCGUACGGUAAGGCCCUUUCGGGGGUACACGAGUGGCGAACGGGGGAGUAACACGUGAGUAACCUGCCCACAACUUUGGGAUAACGCUAGGAAACUGGUGCUAAUACUGGAUAUGUGCCCCUGCUGCAUGGUGGGGGUUGGAAAGCUCCGGCGGUUGUGGAUGGACUCGCGGCCUAUCAGCUUGUUGGUGGGGUAGUGGCCUACCAAGGCGGCGACGGGUAGCCGGCCUGAGAGGGUGACCGGCCACAUUGGGACUGAGAUACGGCCCAGACUCCUACGGGAGGCAGCAGUGGGGAAUAUUGCACGAUGGGCGCAAGCCUGAUGCAGCAGCGCCGCGUGCGGGAUGACGGCCUUCGGGUUGUAAACCGCGUUCAGCAGGGACGAAGCUUUUUGUGACGGUACCUGCAGAAGAAGCACCGGCUAACUACGUG
rnacentral:rRNA from 1 species